rnacentral:lncRNA from 1 species
GGGCUUCGAAUUCAUCCCAGGAUGUGCCUUCUUUUUUGGAAGGUUGUUUGGCAUCGACUAUCUACCAAAGCCUUGCUGAGAGUCAGAGAGAUAAAUAUUCCGACUGCUUGCCCUUGCUGCAGGCUAGAGGAUGAGACCCGGGAGUAUACGCUCUUCCUAUGCCCCGAAGCAUGGCAAGUGUGGCGGCUGGCUACCCCCUUACCCCAUUCUAGUUGUUUCUUUAGAGCAUCCUGCUAGUUCUUCUUAGAGAUCCUGAGGUGGAGCAUGGAGUACGAGACCACCAGACUUACUGGCAC